rnacentral:tRNA from 1 species
GUCCAGAUGGCUUAGUUGGAAGAGCAUGCAACUGUUAAUCUCAGUGUUGUGAGUUUGAACCUCACAUUGGGUA